GCAGUGAGACAGUGGGGGAUAAGCUCCAUUGUCGAGAGGGAAACAGCCCAGAUCGCAGGCUAAGGUCCCUAAGUGUGUGCUAAGUGUGAAACGAAGUGAGAUUGCUAAAACAGCUAGGAGGUUGGCUUAGAAGCAGCCAUCCUUUAAAGAGUGCGUAAUAGCUCACUAGUCGAGGAAUUUUGCGCGGAAAAUGUAACGGGGCUAAAGCACACCACCGAAGCCGCGGGCCCGCUUUAGCGGGCGGUAGGGGAGCGUUGUCAGGGCGUCGAAGCUAGAUCGUGAGGUCUAGUGGAGCGCUGAGAAGUGAGAAUGCCGGUAUGAGUAGCGACAAUCCUGGUGAGAAUCCAGGACACCGAAAGCAUAAGGUUUCCUACGCAAUGCUGAUCAGCGUAGGGUAAGUCGGGCCUAAGCCGUAGCGUAUAGCGAAGGCGAUGGACAGCAGGUCAAAAUUCCUGCACCGCAGACAUAGCGUUUUAAAGCAAAGGGGGGACACGGAAAGAUAGGCGGAGCGCACCCAUCGGACAUGGUGCGUCGGGCCCUGAAGGCCAAGCUGGGAUAGGCAAAUCCGUUCCAGCGUGAUGAGCUGAGGGGGCUGGAAACUCCAGGGCUUAUGCCCGGGGGAAUUCCGUUGAUUCUAUGCCGUCGAGAAAAUCCUCGUUGCAAGUUUUGUCAGCGUCCGUACCGCAAACCGACACAGGUAUGUAGGGGUAAGUAUCCCAAGGUGAACGAGAGAACCCUCGUUAAGGAAUUCGACAAGUUGACUCCGUAACUUCGGGAUAAGGAGUACCCGUGGGGUGAAGGUCACUAGCUGACCGGAUGCCCUUGCGGGUGGCACUAAACAGGCUCAGGCGACUGUUUAUCAAAAACACAGGUCUCUGCUAAAGCGAAAGCUGAUGUAUAGGGGCUGACACCUGCCCAGUGCCGGAAGGUUAAGGGGAUGGGUUCGUUCGCUUGCGAACAAAGCUCAGAACCGAAGCCCCGGUGAACGGCGGCCGUAACUAUAACGGUCCUAAGGUAGCGAAAUCCCUUGUCGGGUAAGUUCCGACCCGCACGAAUGGUGUAACGACCUGAGCGUUGUCUCAACGAGGGACUCGGUGAAAUUGCAAGACCCGUGAAGAUGCGGGUUACCCGUGACAGGACAAAAAGACCCCGUGGAGCUUUACUGUAGCUUGGCAUUGGACUGGGGUUAUAAAUGUGUAGGAUAGGCGGGAGACUUUGAAGCAGGCACGCCAGUGUUUGUGGAGUCGACCUUGAAAUACCGCUCUUUUGUAUUCUUGGCCCUAACUCAACGAAAAUUGAGGACCCUGCCAGGUGGGCAGUUUGACUGGGGCGGUCGCCUCCUAAAAGGUAACGGAGGCGCCCAAAGGUUCCCUCAAGGUGGAUGGAAAUCACCUGUAGAGUGCAUUGGCAUAAGGGAGCUUGACUGUGAGACCUACAAGUCGAGCAGAGACGAAAGUCGGGCAAAGUGAUCC
rnacentral:rRNA from 1 species